GAUCCUGACAGCAUUGUUUUUACUCCUAGGCCUUCACCUGGCUGGGGUGAGUGGCCAGCAGGAGAGACGUGACCAGCAGCAGGUGAAACAAAGUCCCAUAUCUCUGACAGUCUGGGAAGGAGGACCCACAUUUCUGAGCUGCAGUUAUGAGGACAGCGCUUUUGACUACUUCCCAUGGUAUCAGCAGUUCCCUGGGGAAGGCCCUGUACCCCUGAUAGCCAUACGAUCAGUGUCCAAUAAAAAGAAAGAUG
rnacentral:lncRNA from 1 species